CCAGACUCCUACGGGAGGCAGCAGUGAGGAAUAUUGGUCAAUGGACGGAAGUCUGAACCAGCCAUGCCGCGUGCAGGAUGACGGCUCUAUGAGUUGUAAACUGCUUUUGUAUUAGGGUAAACACCCCUACGUGUAGGGGCUUGAAAGUAUAAUACGAAUAAGGAUCGGCUAACUCCGUGCCAGCAGCCGCGGUAAUACGGAGGAUGCGAGCGUUAUCCGGAUUUAUUGGGUUUAAAGGGUGCGUAGGCGGGCUGUUAAGUCAGCGGUCAAAUGUCGGGGCUCAACCCCGGCCUGCCGUUGAAACUGGCGGCCUCGAGUGGGCGAGAAGUAUGCGGAAUGCGUGGUGUAGCGGUGAAAUGCAUAGAUAUCACGCAGAACUCCGAUUGCGAAGGCAGCAUACCGGCGCCCGACUGACGCUGAAGCACGAAAGCGUGGGUAUCGAACAGGAUUAGAUACCCCCGUA
rnacentral:rRNA from 1 species